rnacentral:lncRNA from 1 species
UGAUGUAAUACCCAGUUUAGAAAUGUCACCUUGUACAUUCUACUAUUAGAACUUUCACGACUAAGUUUAAAGCUGGACUGAAUUCCUUUAAAAAUAUAUAUAUAUAUUUUUUUUAAAUUGAGGGGGCCGAACCCUCGCUGCCGACCGCGGGGGGGGACGACGGGACGGGACGACAGUUUGGGAACCACUGGUAUAGACGACCACCUAUUGUUUCAAUCAAUCAGCUGUGUUUCAGUACAAUGUCUAUAUGGGGUACAUGUCAAUGAAGCCAAAUGUUACUUUUUUAGUGUCUUAGUUUACCCUUAAAUUGCAAUAACAACGAUAGAGACCUUUGAAAAUUGGACUAUCCAAACCUUUAUUCAAAGAAAGCACUGUUGUGAUAUUUAAAAUGACAAGAAACAAAGCUUAACCUACUGUACCAGUGAGUGGAUGAAGUGAUGUGCGUUACCAAUACCUACCAGUGAGUGGAUGAGGUGACGUGCAGCACCAAUACCUACCACUGAGUGGAUGAGGUGACGCGCAGCACCAAUACCUACCACUGAGUGGAUGAGGUGACGCGCAGCACCAAUACCUACCACUGAGUGGAUGAGGUGACGUGCAGCACCAAUACCUACCACUGAGUGGAUGAGGUGACGCGCAGCACCAAUACCUACCACUGAGUGGAUGAGGUGACGUGCAGCACCAAUACCUACCACUGAGUGGAUGAGGUGACGUGCAGAGUUAGUUUUUGUCUUACCUUGUGAGAGGUAGUGUGUGGUUCAUAUAGCCCGUGCAG